AAGCUACACUCUGUGUCAGAAGUCGGAAACGACAGUGAUUUGGCUCAAUUUAAGCUUGCUAAAGUAAACUGCGGCCUGACUUAUACCAGCACUCUCUUCGCCAGUGGGAUUUGCUGUUAUGCAGACCGUAACAUA